AGUUUCUCUUAACUCAGCUACUGAAUCCGCUAUUUUUGGAUCGGUUUUAUCCAUGUUGAGAGUUGAUCUUACCUUUUGAAUCACAUCCGAUGUUUCCUUUACGUAUUCGUCGUCCGUGGCGGCGAAUGCUGGCGUGGAGGGAAGGAGGAGUGCCGGAGUGAGGAGGAAUCCGGUGGCCAGGGAGAGGAGUUCACGGCGGCGUGUGGUGGCGGCGGCGGCGGCGGUGGUAGUAGUGGUGGUGGUGAGCUUUGAUCGGGUAGGGGGGAGGAGGGGUUUGGGGGUUGAGG
rnacentral:lncRNA from 1 species